CUGGAAUAUGUAAAAAAGACCUAAAACGUCGACAUUCACCACGCUCUAAACCACGGCGCGAUGCAGAUCGGUCGUUACUUUUUAGACGGCUACUACGAACAGAACGGAUCGAGGUAUGGUUUAGAAUACCUCGGAUGUCUCCAUCAUGGACACGAAUGUCGCUUCGACCCCGAUCAUACGCACCCCUUGUCGCAUGUACCCUACGGCGAACUCAGGAGACAGUCUGACGACAAAGUGGAAAUUCUGCAAAAUGCCUACGGGGUAAAAGUGGAAAUUUUAUGGGAAUGUCAGUGGCUGAAAAUGAAACAGACUGACCCCUCGGUGAAAGAAUUUAUGAGUAUUUAUUCGGCCCCCAAGAGACUGAAACCCCGAGACUCGCUUUAUGGUGGACGCACGAACGCUUAUAAGCUGUACCACAAAACGGUCGAUGGGGAGAAAAUAAGUUAUGUCGAUUUCACCAGCUUAUAUCCGUUCUGCCAGGCCAGGAAAAGCUAUCCGAUCGGUCACCCCGAGAUAAUUUUCAGCGACUUUGAACCGAUUGAGAAUUAUUACGGUCUUAUCAAGGCCACCGUGUACCCUCCACGCAAAUUACUACAUCCGGUUUUACCUUACCGCUGCGGCGGGAAACUAAUGUUCCCGUUAUGCCGAACAUGCGCACGCGCUGAAAACCAGACAACGAGUUGCACGCACACGGACGAGGAGAGGGCUCUCUCAGGGUGCUGGGUCAGCAUCGAACUUUUAAAAGCGAUCGAGAAGGGGUACGUGGUGGCAAAGGUCGACGAAGUGUGGCAUUUCCCACAGCGGUCAGAUACGCUGUUUUGCGAUUACGUGAAAACGUUUUUACGUUUGAAACAGCAAGCGUCCGGUUUCCCGUCAAACGUAGUCUCGGACGUGGACAAAGAGAAUUACAUCAUUGAAUAUUAUGAAAAAGAGGGGAUCCAACUUGACCCCGAAAAAAUCAGUCACAACCCCUCCCAGAGGUCUAUCAAUAAAUUGCUUCUUAAUUCGUUAUGGGGGCGAUUUUCUAUGCGCGAACAUUUACCGCAAACCCUGCUCGUGGAAGACCCUGAAGAUUUCGCACAAAU
rnacentral:lncRNA from 1 species